rnacentral:rRNA from 1 species
UACGAAGGGGGCUAGCGUUGUUCGGAAUUACUGGGCGUAAAGCGCGUGUAGGCGGGCGAAUAAGUCAGGGGUGAAAUGCCAAGGCUCAACCUUGGAACUGCCUUUGAUACUGUUCGUCUUGAGUCCGGGAGAGGUGAGUGGAACUGCGAGUGUAGAGGUGAAAUUCGUAGAUAUUCGCAAGAACACCAGUGGCGAAGGCGGCUCACUGGCCCGGAACUGACGCUGAGACGCGAAAGCGUGGGGAGCAAACAG